GAGCAGAUGAUGAAAGAAGUAAACGAAUGCAACUUCUGAUGAAUCCAUGAAGAUUCAAAAAAUCGAGCUUUUUAAAACUGAUGCUCA